rnacentral:rRNA from 1 species
GGGGAAUAUUGCGCAAUGGGGGCAACCCUGACGCAGCAACGCCGCGUGCAGGAAGAAGGUCUUCGGAUUGUAAACUGUUGUCGCAAGGGAAGAAGACAGUGACGGUACCUUGUGAGAAAGUCACGGCUAACUACGUGCCAGCAGCCGCGGUAAUACGUAGGUGACAAGCGUUGUCCGGAUUUACUGGGUGUAAAGGGCGCGUAGGCGGACUGUCAAGUCAGUCGUGAAAUACCGGGGCUUAACCCCGGGGCUGCGAUUGAAACUGACAGCCUUGAGUAUCGGAGAGGAAAGCGGAAUUCCUAGUGUAGCGGUGAAAUGCGUAGAUAUUAGGAGGAACACCAGUGGCGAAGGCGGCUUUCUGGACGACAACUGACGCUGAGGCGCGAAAGUGUGGGGAGCAAAC